GAAUUAAGUAAGAACGUUGGAGAGAGAAGAGAGAUGAGUUCAUUUAUGUCAAAUACUUUGAAAACCCUAAAGCUCCAUCAGAGUGCUGGAAUUAAGUAAGAACGUUGGGGAGUGACGAGAGAUGAG